UACGUAGGGAGCAAGCGUUGUCCGGAAUUACUGGGCGUAAAGGGCGCGUAGGUGGGCGCUUAAGUCAGGUGUGAAAACUCCGGGCUCAACCUGGAGACUGCACUUGAAACUGGGUGUCUUGAGGGCAGGAGAGGAAAGUGGAAUUCCUAGUGUAGCGGUGAAAUGCGUAGAUAUUAAGAGGAACACCAGUGGCGAAGGCGACUUUCUGGACUGUACCUGACGCUGAGGCGCGAAAGCGUGGGUAGCGAACGGG
rnacentral:rRNA from 1 species